AAUCAACGCUGGCGGCGUGCUUAACACAUGCAAGUCGAGCGGUAAGGCCCUUUCGGGGGUACACGAGCGGCGAACGGGUGAGUAACACGUGGGUGACCUGCCCUCAGCUCUGGGAUAAGCCUGGGAAACCGGGUCUAAUACCGGAUAUGACUCCAUGACGCAUGUUGUGGGGUGGAAAGCCUUGUGCGGCUGAGGAUGGGCCCGCGGCCUAUCAGCUUGUUGGUGGGGUGAUGGCCUACCAAGGCGACGACGGGUAGCCGGCCUGAGAGGGCGACCGGCCACACUGGGACUGAGACACGGCCCAGACUCCUACGGGAGGCAGCAGUGGGGAAUCUUGCGCAAUGGGCGAAAGCCUGACGCAGCGACGCCGCGUGAGGGAUGACGGCCU
rnacentral:rRNA from 1 species